GUCAUGGUGGGCAAACGACACGUCAGGGCCGCUCUUUCCUUCGUGCUCGUCAACGAACGUGACAUGUUUGAAGUUACCGCACGGUCUGGAAGAGGAGAAUCGAUUAGCCGCAGUGAAGCCUCUCUCCACCCCCUCUCUCCCCCUCUCGCUCUCUCUCCCUCUCCUCUAUCUUCCCUCCCUCCCUCUGGUGGAAACACAAAGGAAGAGACGCGUGUAUCGGCGGGAGGAAGGAGGCAGUCUUUGCGUGUCGUCCCGGUCCCUCGGUGCGGUUGCGG
ensembl:lncRNA